AUUUUUGACAAUUCUAUGCACAGUAAAGUAGUUAUGAGGUGAAGAACCAGGCCAAGCUCUUCUAGGAAGAAAAAUGAAUAGAGAGCUUUCCCCACCUGAAGUCAAGGAGCUGUUACAGCACAGAGAGGAGAUAAUCUAGGAGGAUGUAAACAUCCAUGACCACUUUGGAAGAUAAAAAUGGAGGGCUUCCAGGAAAUGCAUGACUUUGCUGGACCACACACAGUGAACCACAGGUUGAAGAGCAAAGGAGCCAAGCAAUCAUGGACUAAAACCUCAGCAACUGUUGUCUCCCUGAUGUGCUACAGUGAUAGCAAAAUGACUACGACAGAAUAGUUGGAAGCUCAUGAGAGGAAUCUAUCAGCCAGAGAAAUCUCAAAAUUGUGCCAUGUAGAACUCUCUGCAUCUGUUGUGCCUCGUGCAUCUGAAGGACUGACCUGAGGCCAUAAUUUGGGCAUUGUACACGUGGAAUGCUUUAAUGUACCACAGAAAUAUGUCAUAGUUUAAAAUAUAAGCUACUGUGACAUGCCUAAAC
rnacentral:lncRNA from 1 species